UUAAGGUUAGGGUUAGGUGUAGGGUUCAAUUUUAGGGUUGAUUAAGGGUUAAGGUUAGGGUUAGGUGUAGGGUUAGAUUUUAUGGUUGAUUAAGGGUUAAGGUUAGGGUUAGGUGUAGGGUUAUAUUUUAGGGUUGAUUAAGGGUUAAGGUUAGGGUUAGGUGUAGGGUUUGAUUUUAUGGUUGAUUAAGGGUUAAGGUUAGGGUUAGGUGUAGGGUUAUAUUUUAGGGUUGAUUAAGGGUUAAGGUUAGGGUUAGGUGUAGGGUUAUAUUUUAGGGUUGAUUAAGGGUUAAGGUUAGGGUUAGGUGUAGGGUUUGAUUUUAUGGCUGAUUAAGGGUUAAGGUUAGGGUUAGGUGUAGGGUUAUAUUUUAGGGUUGAUUAAGGGUUAAGGUUAGGGUUAGGUGUAGGGUUUGAUUUUAUGGUUGAUUAAGGGUUAAGGUUAGGGUUAGGUGUAGGGUUAUAUUUUAGGGUUGAUUAAGGGUUAAGGUUAGGGUUAGGUGUAGGGUUAUAUUUUAGGGUUGAUUAAGGGUUAAGGUUAGGGUUAGGUGUAGGGUUUGAUUUUAUGGUUGAUUAAGGGUUAAGGUUAGGGUUAGGUGUAGGGUUAUAUUUUAGGGUUGAUUAAGGGUUAAGGUUAGGUGUAGGGUUUGAUUUUAGGGUUGAUUAAGGGUUAAGGUUAGGGUUAGGUGUAGGGUUAGAUUUUAUGGUUAAUUAAGGGUUA